CGAUGAACCUCACUUCGGGAGGGGAUUAGUGGCGAACGGGUGAGUAACACGUGGGCAAUCUGCCCUGCACUCUGGGACAAGCCCUGGAAACGGGGUCUAAUACCGGAUACUGAUCAUCUUGGGCAUCCUUGGUGAUCGAAAGCUCCGGCGGUGCAGGAUGAGCCCGCGGCCUAUCAGCUUGUUGGUGAGGUAAUGGCUCACCAAGGCGACGACGGGUAGCCGGCCUGAGAGGGCGACCGGCCACACUGGGACUGAGACACGGCCCAGACUCCUACGGGAGGCAGCAGUGGGGAAUAUUGCACAAUGGGCGAAAGCCUGAUGCAGCGACGCCGCGUGAGGGAUGACGGCCUUCGGGUUGUAAACCUCUUUCAGCAGGGAAGAAGCGAAAGUGACGGUACCUGCAGAAGAAGCGCCGGCUAACUACGUGCCAGCAGCCGCGGUAAUACGUAGGGCGCGAGCGUUGUCCGGAAUUAUUGGGCGUAAAGAGCUCGUAGGCGGCUUGUCGCGUCGGUUGUGAAAGCCCGGGGCUUAACCCCGGGUCUGCAGUCGAUACGGGCAGGCUAGAGUUCGGUAGGGGAGAUCGGAAUUCCUGGUGUAGCGGUGAAAUGCGCAGAUAUCAGGAGGAACACCGGUGGCGAAGGCGGAUCUCUGGGCCGAUACUGACGCUGAGGAGCGAAAGCGUGGGGAGCGAACAGGAUUAGAUACCCUGGUAGUCCACGCCGUAAACGGUGGGCACUAGGUGUGGGCGACAUUCCACGUCGUCCGUGCCGCAGCUAACGCAUUAAGUGCCCCGCCUGGGGAGUAC
rnacentral:rRNA from 1 species